rnacentral:rRNA from 1 species
AACGAACGCUUGCGGCAGGCUUAACACAUGCAAGUCGAGCGAACCUUCGGGUUAGCGGCGGACGGGUGAGUAACGCGUGGAAACAUGCCUUAAGGUACGGAAUAGUCUCUGGAAACGGAGUUUAAUACCGUAUAUUCCCUGAGGGGGAAAGAUUUAUCGCCUUAAGAUUGGUCCGCGUUGGAUUAGGUAGUUGGUGGGGUAAAGGCCUACCAAGCCGACGAUCCAUAGCUGGUUUUAGAGGAUGAUCAGCCACACUGGGACUGAGACACGGCCCAGACUCCUACGGGAGGCAGCAGUGAGGAAUCUUGGACAAUGGGGGAAACCCUGAUCCAGCCAUGCCGCGUGAUCGAAGACGGCCUUAGGGUUGUAAAGAUCUUUCAGUGGGGAGGAUAAUGACGUUACCCACAGAAGAAGCUCCGGCUAACUCCG